GAAAUGCGAUAAGUAAUGUGAAUUGCAGAAUUCAGUGAAUCAUCGAAUCUUUGAACGCACAUUGCGCCCGCCAGCACUCUGGCGGGCAUGCCUGUUCGAGCGUCAUUUCAACCCUCAGAACCCUUUGCGGGAUCUGGCGUUGGGGAUUGGCAUCCAGCCAGCCCCGAAAUCUAGUGGCGGUCCCUCCGCGACCUCCCCUGUGCAGUAGCGAUACCUCGCAGCGGGACAGCGGUCUGACCACGCCGUAAAACCCCCAACUUCUCAAGGUUGACCUCGAAUCAGGUAGGAAUACCCGCUGAACUUAAGC
rnacentral:misc_RNA from 1 species